AUUGAACGCUGGCGGCAUGCCUUACACAUGCAAGUCGAACGGCAGCACGGGUGCUUGCACCUGGUGGCGAGUGGCGAACGGGUGAGUAAUACAUCGGAACGUACCUUAUCGUGGGGGAUAACGCAGCGAAAGCUGUGCUAAUACCGCAUACGCCCUGAGGGGGAAAGCGGGGGGUCGAAAGACCUCGCGCGAUUAGAGCGGCCGAUGCCUGAUUAGCUUGUUGGUGGGGUAAAAGCCCACCAAGGCGACGAUCAGUAGCUGGUCUGAGGGGACGAUCAGCCACACUGGGACUGAGACACGGCCCAGACUCCUACGGGAGGCAGCAGUGGGGAAUUUUGGACAAUGGGGGCAACCCUGAUCCAGCAAUGCCGCGUGAGUGAAGAAGGCCUUCGGGUUGUAAAGCUCUUUUGUCAGGGAAGAAACACCGGCUCUAACACAGUCCGGGAAUGACGGUACCUGAAGAAUAAGCACCGGCUAACUACGUGCCAGCAGCCGCGGUAA
rnacentral:rRNA from 1 species